GCGCCUGGGAAGAACAAGCCUGGUAAAGAAAAAUCUGUCAAAUCCUUACCAUCGGGCAAAUUGAGCUCUCGCCUCACCGUUGCCGGAUCGCCGGAAGACACUCCCAAGCAAGAAGAGAAAAAGGUGGAAGUAGAGGAGCCAGUCCAGUUGCAGACCCCAGCCAUCCCAGAAGUCCCUACUUUCAAUACUUUAAAUGUGUCCUGUCCCAGUGGUUUGGUGUUGACCUUCAUUGGCAAAAACAUCCCAGAUGAAGAAAAGGGAGACAAGGGCAAAAACAGUGAUAAAGAAUGCAAAGCGGAGGAGGCUAAGUCAAGAUCAAAUUAAAACAGAUAGAGUGAUCAGGACCCAAAAGGGCCAAAGGUGG